AUAUUGGACAAUGGGCGAAAGCCUGAUCCAGCCAUGCCGCGUGUGUGAAGCAGGUCCUCGUAUUGUAAAGCACUUUAAGUUGGGAGGAAGGGCAGCAUGUUAAUACCUUGCUGCUUUGACGUUACCGACAGAAUAAGCACAGGCUAACUUCGUGCCAGCAGCAGCGGUAAUACGAAGGGUGCAAGCGUUAAUCGGAAUUACUGGGCGUAACGCGCUCGUAGGAGGUUUGUUAAGUUGGCAGUGAAAGACCCGGGCUCAACCUGGGAACUGCUUUCAAAACUGGCAAGCUAGAGUAUGGCAGAGGGUAGUGGAAUUUCCUGUGUAGCGGUGAAAUGCGUAGAUAUAGGAAGGAACAUCAGUGGCGAAGGCGACUACCUGGACUGAUACUGACACUGAGGUGCGAAAGCGUGGGGAGCAAACAG
rnacentral:rRNA from 1 species